AUUGAACGCUGGCGGCAUGCCUUACACAUGCAAGUCGAACGGCAGCACGGGAGCAAUCCUGGUGGCGAGUGGCGAACGGGUGAGUAAAGUAUCGGAACGUGCCCAGUCGUGGGGGAUAACGUAGCGAAAGUUACGCUAAUACCGCAUACGAUCUAUGGAUGAAAGCGGGGGAUCGCAAGACCUCGCGCGAUUGGAGCGGCCGAUAGCAGAUUAGGUAGUUGGUGGGGGAAAGGCUCACCAAGCCGACGAUUUGUAGCUGGUCUGAAAGGACGACCAGCCACACUGGGACUGAGACACGGCCCAGACUCCUACGGGAGGCAGCAGUGGGGAAUUUUGGACAAUGGGCGAAAGCCUGAUCCAGCCAUGCCGCGUGCAGGAUGAAGGCCUUCGGGUUGUAAACUGCUUUUGUACGGAACGAAAAGGUUUGGGCUAAUAAGCUGAGCUCAUGACGGUACCGUAAGAAUAAGCACCGGCUAACUACGUGCCAGCCGCCGCAGUAA
rnacentral:rRNA from 1 species